GCCAGACUCCUACGGGAGGCAGCAGUGGGGAAUAUUGCACAAUGGGGGGAACCCUGAUGCAGCGACGCCGCGUGGGUGAAGGAGCGUUUCGGCGCGUAAAGCCCUCUCGGCAGGGAAGAAGGAGGACGGUACCUGACUAAGAAGCCCCGGCUAACUACGUGCCAGCAGCCGCGGUAAUACGUAGGGGGCAAGCGUUAUCCGGAUUUACUGGGUGUAAAGGGGGCGCAGACGGCAGCGCAAGCCAGGAGUGAAAGCCCGGGGCCCAACCCCGGGACUGCUCUUGGAACUGCGCGGCUGGAGUGCAGGAGGGGCAGGCGGAAUUCCUGGUGUAGCGGUGAAAUGCGUAGAUAUCAGGAGGAACACCGGUGGCGAAGGCGGCCUGCUGGACUGCGACUGACGUUGAGGCCCGAAAGCGUGGGGAGCAAACAGGAUUAGAUACCCGCGUAAC
rnacentral:rRNA from 1 species